rnacentral:lncRNA from 1 species
GGCGCAGAAAGGGCCCAGAAUGGGGUAGCGCAGAAAAAUAGUAGGUUAAGGUCACGAAUUUGAAAUUAUGAUUUUAACCCACAAUUUCAAUAUGUUACCCACCCUGCAUUAUGUGACAAGUGAUGGAUGCCACAUCGUUAGAAAAUUAUGGAUUCAAUCUAUAAUUUUAUAUUAAAAUUGUAAAAUCGAAAAUAAUUUUUGUUUGAUAUUUUUUAAUAUUUUAUUAAAAAAAUAUUAUUAAAAGAAAGAAAGAA